AUUGAACGCUGGCGGCAUGCCUUACACAUGCUAGUCGAACGGUAACGCGGGGCAACCUGGCGACGAGUGGCGAACGGGUGAGUAACGCAUCGGAACGUGCCCAGUAGUGGGGGAUAGCCCGGCGAAAGCCGGAUUAAUACCGCAUACGACCUACGGGUGAAAGGGGGGGAUCGCAAGACCCCUCGCUAUUGGAGCGGCCGAUGUCAGAUUAGGUAGUUGGUGGGGUAAAGGCCCACCAAGCCUUCGAUCUGUAGCUGGUCUGAGAGGACGACCAGCCACACUGGGACUGAGACACGGCCCAGACUCCUACGGGAGGCAGCAGUGGGGAAUUUUGGACAAUGGGCGCAAGCCUGAUCCAGCCAUGCCGCGUGCGGGAAGAAGGCCUUCGGGUUGUAAACCGCUUUUGUCAGGGAAGAAACGCUCUGGGCUAAUACCCCGGGGUAAUGACGGUACCUGAAGAAUAAGCACCGGCUAACUACGUGCCAGCCGCCGCAGUAA
rnacentral:rRNA from 1 species